GUUUACUUCAGGAAAAGAGGGAAAAAAUCCUGUCAGUUGCCAUCGUGAAUGUAGUAUUUAGUGGUUAAUUUGGGGGAGUUAAAUCGUUGUGUAUGAAUACACAUUAAGUUUUGUAUUAGACUCAAUAAUGGCUGGCCAGGACUAAAGGUUUUUGCCCAAUUACACAGCAGUUACAUGACAAUCGAGAGGAAUGAGACGCUUAGCAGAGGCUUAUGACUGACAUCUAAUAGACAAGUCAUCUUUUCUACAUCAUCAAAAAUCCAUAUGAAGCAUUGCCUUUGGACAAAAUCUACACUCAAUAUCUACAAUGUAAAAGAAUCACUCUAGAACCCUAACAUCUAGCAUUUCUUCUCUUUGUCCUUUUCAGGAAACUCAAAAAGUUUCUAUGCAGAACCCUGACAGAGGGUUUUCUUUAUAGAAAAGGUUCUUUAAAGACCCCUUAAACAAUCAUCAAGGAAUGUUUUUUUUUUCUCCAGAAGUGUUAAUAUUUCAUGACAAGUUAGCAAAGCUGUCUUUCGAAAGUCUUGCUGCUCUCAUGGGUAGUGACUUCUAUACUUACUGUAAAAUGAAAUAUGAAUGGAUGCCCCUUUUGCCUACGGAUUGAUCUUGCACUGUGUUCCUGGAACUCAAUCAAAGUCCGACUCACGCAGAGAUUAUUGUAGCUCUGCACAUUGAUGUUUGUCUCAUUUUAGCUCUGUAAAAGGAGUGUAACAUUAUCAGACUAAUUACAGCACUGCACACACAAGUGCACAGUGUGAAAAUGGAUGGUCACUGUCUCAGCCCUUGUCUGACUGUCAUCUCCCUGAGAUGUGUCCUUGUGUUUACAUUCUUCAUGAUAAAUCAGAAUGGAGCUAGCACUGCCUCAAGAUGGCUGUAAAAUUCCAGAAGUGGUUAGUGGUUGAGAAGUGGCAAUAAACAAAUGGGAGAGGCUUCCAUGAUCAGGCAAACCCAGGAAUAAAUAUUUGUUAUGAUGUGUUAAUGAUGGUAUCCGUGAUACGAAAAUCUGAAAUAGUUAUGGCAUUACUAUACCACAGUGCUUUUGAAUGCUUAAUUCUCAUUGGUCAGAAGGUGCUUCUGUAAAAGCAGCUCUGAUAGUACUACUGGCUGCAAAGUUUACAUUAGUGUGCUUGUUCUAAUAUGUGCUUGUUCUAAUGACAUCUUCCACAAGGACUUGUAUGGAAGAUUCUGUACAUAAACAGAUUUUAAAAAGGUUUCGGUGAGGAGACAUUUAUUUAGCAUUUUUUGGAAACACUCCACAUUGUCCUGGCUUUGUAACAGUCAGAGGUAAAGCUGUAGCUUUAAGUUUUCCACAAUGGGUCUUCACCGUGAGUUCUUUUCAGUCCGCUUUUCAAUUUCUUGGUAAAGUGUUGAGACAAAUAACAGCAACUAUCUUGUUUUGCUGAUGUUCCACAACAUUAAACAUAACUAUGAAUUAAUAAAAAAGUAUGUUAGGCUUUAUCUAAAAUACGAUAGGGUCAUCACAGCCACUUAACUCGCUUAACAGUUGCCAGUUGGCGCACAGAGGAGGGUCAUGGGUAAACGUGGCACAUGGAGAUGUGCUACUGUGCAGUCAUCCCUCAAAGUGGCGGCGUGUUGUGCGUAUCUUCGUUGCUAUGCAUCUGGUGAACGCCGCUUGCUUAGUGGAAUGGUGUGUUGGUUACGUAGACGGAAAUGGUUUGAUGCAACGUUGUGAUAUUUGUUCUGCGAGUUUAAUCAAAUUCAGAUUAAUAUAGUUUAAUUCAGAGUAAUACUGUUCAAAAUACAUCUGAAGUGUAAAGAACAAAAUGCUAAACAAUAAAGUGUAAACAAUAAAAUUUUCCCUCAUCACAUCCAGAACUUUUCGUCUUCUUUAGACAAGCUCAUGCCCCAAGACAUGUGCUUGUGCUCAAAAACCUUAAAAUAGUUUGCGACAAAAAUGUUUGAAAACACGCCAAAAAAAAACGUCUAAUCUUAUUCACUCUGAUAUUUUCUCAGACUGGUGUCUUUAAUAAUAACUUCUCCUCUAUGAAGAAACUCUCACACUGAGCAGCCAGCGUAAAUGAACACAAACAAGUUAUUUCUCCUGUGUUUCAUGUUUUCUUCACACAUCCAUAUCGAUUUCUUAUGUUACACCUAACACCACACAAACACAUCAGACCAUUGUGGUUUCUUCGGGUUUUUAAAUGGGCACCCUUCCUCACUGGUGUUUUGUAAAUGUAAUCCCAAAGCAGAACCAGUAUCCUGGAACUGCUCUAUCCACCACCCCAGCCAUGUCACUGUCAGCUCUGCCCUGCCUCAUUGUUGCCAGAUUGAUUUUUCCAUUGCUCUCUUCUGUUCAGCCGCAGCGUUCAGCAUUCACUCUUGUAAAAUUGAGUAGCAUUGUCCCAAAACAGCUUUACAGAAAUAAACACAUUUCAAAUUAAUUUAAACCAAAAAAAAUGGUAAAUAUGUGAAUUUAUCCCUAAUAAGCAAGCCAGAGGUGAGGGUGUAAAGGAAAAACUCUCUGAGAUGAUGUGAGGAAGAAACCUUGAGAGGAACCAGACUCAGAAGGGAACUCAUCCUCAUCUGGGUGCUUACUGAGUGCAAUUAUAAAUAAAUUCCUUCUAUAACUGUGUACUACAUGGACAAAUAGUGCGAUUGUGCAACCAGUAAACUCAUCACAGUUUUCACAUGAAGUCCGGUUUGUUGAACUUAUCCACUCUCCACUGAUGUAGACGUGAGUACAAAACUGCUCGUGGCAACUACAGCCCCAAAGCCACCACAGCAAUCACAGACCCAAGCCAUCACAGUACAACUCCCCAUAUAAGAUCCCCAAGCCAUCUCCACGGCCCCCAAGUGGCGCCAACACCAGCAAUCCUAAUGAUCUUCAGGCUGUCCACGUGGGGCCACCGCCAGCAGCAGCGAGAGAUCUCCAACUCAUGAGAGCUCCAUCCAGAAGUAAGGCAUCAGAAUGGAUCAGGCCAGUCCGGAGAGCAGGAGGGAUUAGUAUCACUGGUAUCUCAGGAGUAGCAUGUGUAGCUUGACAGAGAGAGAGACAGAGAGAGGGAGGGAGAGGGAGAGAUUGUUAGGUAAGCUUUUGUCCCAUAAUGGUUAAGGACAAUGUACUUUGUGUGCAGAGUGCAAGCAGGGAUUACGGGAAGACUAGCUGUGACAGCAUAACUAAAAGGGAGAGCCAGAAGGUAACACAGGCAUGAGGGCACCCUGGGACAUAAAGCGGCCAGCCACUCCACCGUCGACAAACCUGAGUGAACAUGUGAGAGUGGGGGGGCAACGGCAUCCAAACACCCCAGUUCACCACAACACUCUAUGCCUGUGAACCCUCCAGACCUGCUCCUUUACCUAAGAAAAAAACUAUUCACAAAAGGCUUGACUAAACAGAUAUGUUUUCAGCCUUGACUUAAACACAAAGACUGUGUCUGGGUCCCGAACACUAAUCGGAAGGCUGUUUCAUAACUAUGAGACUUUGUAAGGAAGCUCUACCCCCUGCUGUAGCCUUUGCUAUUCGAGGUACCAACAUAUAGCCUGCACCUUUUGAUCGAAGUAGGUGUAGCUGAUCAUAAAAGAGCAAAAGUUUGCUCGGGUACUGCGGCGCGAGACCAUUCAGUGCUUUAUAGGUCAAUAGUAGUAUUUUAUAAUCAGUACAAAAUUUGAUUGGGAGCCACUGCAUUGUGGAUAUGAUAGGGGUGAUGUGGUCAUAUCAUCUGGUUCCAGUAAGGACUCUUGCUGCUCCAUUCUGGACUAACUGGAGCUUGUUUGUGCAUCUACUGGAACAUCCAGACAGCAAGGCAUUACAGUAAUCCAACCUAGAGGUAACAAAGGCAUGAACUAAUUUUUCUGCCUUGUGUAUUAUAUUUCUUAUCUUAGCAAUAUUUCUGAGAUGAAAGAAAGCUAUCCUAGUAAUAUUAUGUACAUGAGCUUCAAAUGAAAGACUGGAGUCAAUAAUCACACCAAGGUCUUUUACUGCUGCGCAUGAUGAAACAGAAAGGCCGUCCAGGGUUACUAUGUAAUCAGAAAGCCUACUUCUAGCUGCAUGUGGUCCUAGUACAAGCACUUCUGUCUUGUCAGAAUUAAGUAAGAGAAAGUUAAUAAGUGUCCAGUUUCAAAUGUCCUUUACACAUUCCUCAACUUUAUUAAGCUGGUGUCUGUCAUCUGGCCUUGCUGAAACGUACAACUGUGUGUCAUCAGCAUAACAGUGGAAGCUAAUACCAUGUUAAUGAAUUAUUUUGCCCAGAGGUAGCAUAUAUAAAGAAAAGAGCAGUGGGCCUAAAACGGAGCCUUGCGGAACACCAACCUUUUUCUUAGUAUGUGUAGAGAAGUCACCAUCUACAAACUGAUAACGAUCAGUCAAAUAAGACCUGAGCCAGGAGAGGGCCGUUCCCUUAAUGCCUACAACAUUUUCUAGUCUAUCGAGGAGAACAGCAUGAUCAGUGGUAUCAAAAGCUGCACUAAGGUCAAGCAACACAAGCAAGGAGACACAACGCUGAUCAGAGGCCAGUAGUAGGUCAUUUACCACUUUAACCAGAGCUGUCUCUGUGCUAUGAUGAGGCCUAAAUCCUGACUGAUACAUUUCAGGAAUGUUAUUCCUAUGUAGGUAUGAGCAUAACUGCUGUGAAAACAACAUUUUCUAGG